UCCCAAUAUUAAACUCUAUACCCAAGUUUCUCUGCAUGGCAUACUGUCUGCCUCCCACCCACCAUGGUCUUCCACCUACAGGGGUCGUGCCUCCAUGAAUCAUAACAUUGGUACAAGACUCGACCAGGCUCUCUCUGUGUUCCCUCCCACGCUUGGGCGGUCUGGCUCAAGCACAUGGGAAUCCUGGAUCCGAACCUGCUACUCCACACAACACCGACUAAAUGCCAUGAACAACAUGUGGUUUCUCUAUGCAACAUGUGACCGCUACCAUCUUGACUAAGGGCAGCCAUGUAACCAAGUCACCAUCUUUACUGAGAAUACAGAAGACGGGUGGACACAGAAUAAUGUCCAGUCACUGUUCACUCAGCAAGUGAAAGUGUUAACCAUCAAAACUCCUGAAGAUCUCCAGACAGUGGACAGAAUCGACUGGAAUCAAUGGCCUGGCUCUUCAGGGCAAGGUAGGUUUGUCUUCCUACAGAUGUCCUAACCCACAGAUCUUCUAAAGCCUGGUAAGCCCUGCACUAACAACAGAAGACAAAUACAGCCUUGAAAGCCCCUGCUCUCAACCACCUUGGAGGACCCUAAGGAGUGGCUCUAGGUAGCCAACUGAGUAAGUUCUCUGCCAUUUUUUAAAUCAAUAACUCAAGUAAAAUUUUAUCCUUCUCAAAGAGCUCUGAUGCAAUUUGUUUGCUGAGAGGUUUUGGCAGUUUAAAAAUGACAACUUCACCAAACAAAUUUCAGUAUAACUUCUUACAAUUUUUUAAAAUAAAAGGUGUUUUAAAAUGCAAAAGCUCAAACCAAAAAGGUGUUUUAAGAUAUAUGAAUGCAAGUUAUUAAGGUAUAUACCUACAAGUUAUAAAGGUGUGUGCCUACACAUUAUAAAGGUCUGAGGACAAAUGAAAGUUAUCAAAUUUCUUUUCCUCGUUACGUUGCCAUUCAUAGUCUUAACAUGAUCAAUAAAAUGCCUAUAAGCUAUUAAUCUAACUCUGACAGAGUACAACCACUGCUCAAGAUCAAGAUUUUAAAUUCUCUUUGGUUGUUUUCUAAAGAUACUUUUCAUUGUGCGAGAACACCUGUCACAGCCAUUCUGACAUAAAAUGCUGCUGUUUAUACAAUGUAUGUGACUAAAACUUAUGUUUUACAAACUCAAAGAAUUCUUGUGAGUUUCGGGGAACCAAAUUGAAGAAUUCACCUUAAAGAGGUCAGAUACACCCCUCUCUCAAUUCCCUGGUUCUAAACCCUCCUCCUCAAUUACCAAAACCCAAACAAAUUUUUAAACUUAACCUUGUCUUCUGCUCUGCCAACACCUUGCCAGAUCCAAGAGACAUCAGAGAUUUCCAGAACACCACAAAUCCUGGACCGGAUUGAAGCAACCAGCUACCCUAGGAUGUGACCAGAACCAAGCUUUCUCAGGUCCCCCCAAGACUCCAACGUCCACAAAUCAGCAGGAAGCAGUCACGAGAACUCGACACCCUUAUCCCCUCAACCUGCCAUGCCUAACUCCUUGCCAUUUUAUUAUAAGAGAAAGGUGGGAAUGUUGUAAUCAUAAAUCUGCUGACCUGCCCUGUCACCUGAGUACCCUGUCCCUUUAAGAGAUAAACCCCGCCCACCUUCAUUUGUUCUCUGCUCCCCCCCCCCAGCUAAAGGAAGCUAAUCUCACUCCUCCUAUCCAUCUCUUUCUAUCUUUAUCUAUCAUUCUGAAGGGGCAGUCUCUGCCUCUCCCUUCCUCCUUUCUCUUUCUUCUCUUUCUCUGUUUCCCCUCGCUCCUUCCCUCUCCCUCCCUCCCCCAUAAUC